CUAGCAAGUGCGAAGACGUUUGCGGAUUCUGAGUUUGGAUGCGGCGUAAACAACCGGUAUACACAAGUAUGCACGAACGAACACUUAAAGCCAAAAAAAAAAAAGAAAGGUCGGGGAAGCUGUCGUUGUUAGAUUCUAUGGACAUUGGACAAUGGACAGAUCGUUUUGUCUCAGUUGAGACAAGCU
rnacentral:lncRNA from 1 species